rnacentral:rRNA from 1 species
AUUCCUACGGGAGGCAGCAGUGGGGAAUAUUGCACAAUGGGGGAAACCCUGAUGCAGCCAUGCCGCGUGUGUGAAGAAGGCCUUCGGGUUGUAAAGCACUUUCAGUUGUGAGGAAAAGUUAGUAGUUAAUACCUGCUAGCCGUGACGUUAACAACAGAAGAAGCACCGGCUAACUCCGUGCCAGCAGCCGCGGUAAUAAU